UUAGGCCUUAUUCAUUCCUAGUGAAAUAUCAUAGUCUUUCUCUUUCAUAGUUAAGUUGGAUGUGCCUUUUUGUUGCCCAACUUGUUCUGCUAUGACAAAUAACUAUAAAGUUAUUCUGUUAAAUUAUGAAAUCAAUAGUUUUGUAACCUCAGACAGUUAUUUAACAACUUCAUGAAAACCAGCUCAAUUCCUCUAUUUUAUUUUAUUUUUCUAACCAAUUUACUCCCUGAUAUAUGCAAUGCUAAAGAAAUCUUAUUAUAGAAAACAUCAAUUGAAUGGAAUUGUGUGCUAAGCAUAGCAUUCAAGCUAACACUGUUGUUUUUAUUUUUGAUAUAUUUCAAGCCUCUUUCUAAUGGAAAAAAGAAGAUACUCAUUGCAGUUCUAGUUUCAGUAUUGGUUUUCAUUUUCACAAUUUUGGGCCUUAUUUUCUGGAAAUGCUACUUUGGACAGAGAACAUCAAGUGAACAAGGUAAUGUAAAUCUAUGACACAAGCUUUGGUGUGACCAUGUGAGAAGGAUAAUAAAUAAGUAUGUUUCCCAACUAUUGCAGGAAGUAGGAAGAAUUUGUGGCAACUUGAAUAUAAUUAUAAGUAGCCGAUAGACUCAAACUGGCCAUGACCUAAAUAAAAAAUAAUCAUCUGGAAAACAUAAGAAUACAUUAUCACCAGACACUCAAACGUUGGAGGAAAAAUUUCUUGGACAAUGAGAGAGUAAGGAGUUUGCAACUGGAACUCAAGUCUCGCAUUGAGGAGUUUGAGAAGCUUGACAAAUUCCAUAUGGAACAAAUGGAAGAAGAGGUUACUGCAAGAAAUGCCCACAUACAUCAACAAAAAGUUGGUAGCUUGGAAUGUUUUAUGGUAGCUAAGAGCAGUGCAGAAGAAUUUUCAAAAAUUGAUAUUGUUGAAGCAUGGACACAUUGAAGAGACAUCUUCCUAUUUCUGGACUAGAGGGGCUUCAUGAGCUAAGGAAAAUUGUUGAAGGUUUGAGGAAAAGAUUUAUUCUACUGCCACAAGCCAGGUAUAUCCAUCAUGCUAGUAUUUACUCAACCAUUCCUCAAGACCUAUGAACAUUUUUUGUAUCUAUCCUUAGUGUAAAAGAUUAAAGUGCAAAACUUGAUAUUAUCUUAUCUCUUUUUUGACCU